rnacentral:tRNA from 1 species
GGAUUGUGGCUCAGCGGUAGAGUGAUCGCCUCACACUUGUGGGACCCUGGGUUCGAUCCUCAGCACCA